rnacentral:rRNA from 1 species
GACGAACGCUGGCGGCGUGCUUAACACAUGCAAGUCGAACGGAAAGGCCCUGCUUUUGUGGGGUGCUCGAGUGGCGGACGGGUGAGUAACACGUGAGUAACCUGCCCUUGACUUUGGGAUAACUUCAGGAAACUGGGGCUAAUACCGGAUAGGAGCUCCUGCUGCAUGGUGGGGGUUGGAAAGUUUCGGCGGUUGGGGAUGGACUCGCGGCUUAUCAGCUUGUUGGUGGGGUAGUGGCUUACCAAGGCUUUGACGGGUAGCCGGCCUGAGAGGGUGACCGGCCACAUUGGGACGGAGAUACGGCCCAGACUCCUACGGGAGGCAGCAGUGGGGAAUAUUGCACAAUGGGCGGAAGCCUGAUGCAGCAACGCCGCGUGCGGGAUGACGGCCUUCGGGUUGUAAACCGCUUUCGCCUGUGACGAAGCGUGAGUGACGGUAAUGGGUAAAGAAGCACCGGCUAACUACGUG